UUAUAAGUCUUCCUCUCCCCUCGACUUCCAGGCUUGGGCAUAAUGGCAUUUCAUUUGUUUAUUUCAAUUCCACCUCCAUAUCACUCUUCUUUGGCUUCAUCUUCGAUCUCACUGAUGAUUUGUUUAGUCCUUCUCAUGCAUUCUUUUGAGCAUAUAAGUCAUGAUCAUCAACAUAAGCUGUAAUUCCACAUUCUCUGAGAUUGGAAGAAAGAUUUCAACGAAGCUUUUAAUACAUAAGCUGUGGAGUAUCUAUUUGAGAAUUUUACAUCAACAGUACAGCUUAAAUUACUAUCUUACUCAAUUAGUAGUGCCAUAAAUGAACAAAUUCAUAGGCUUUGGUCAUUCAUGGAUGAGUUUUGAUUAUCUUUGUUUUAAGAUUUAUGCUUUCAAUCUUUGUUUCGACCAUUUUAUAUGUGGUGGUGAUUGGAGAAGUAUCCCCUAUCUUUUCUUUUGGUGCGUUGUCUUAUGCAUAUUCAUUUAACCUAUGAUAUGUGUUUGUGAUUAGAGAAUGCAGUGAGUUCAAAUAAUAAUAAUAAAAACACGUGCAUAUUUAUUCUUUAGAUAAAUAGUAUAUUUUAAACACAUGGUAUAGGGUUGGUAGCAAACUCUUUAUUUAUUAUAUGAUCGUCACUUAAACUUACCAGUCAUUGCUUAAUACAAGCAUAGCCUUUAAAAUGAAAUUAUUUUUAAAUGCAAAAUAUUUGGUUGGUACCAUGACUUUAUUUAUUUAUUAUAUUAAAAAGACAUUUAUGAUAUUCUUGUAAAAUCAACACUUAAUAAUUUUGAGGAAACGUUAAUUAAGCUAGAGCUGCCCUUCUUUUUGUUUUCAGAAAAUGUUUUCUCUUAUCUCCGAAAUUAAAAACAAAAUUAGAGAAAAGGGAUAUAUCUUUUUUAGAAAUACCAGAGUUUACUUAAUUCUAGAAUGACAUUGUAAUUCCCAGAUGACAUCUAAAAAGUAUCUAUGUAUAUAACUCCUCAAUAAGCUAUGAAGAAGAACUAUCUCUUGUAACAUGUAUCCUCAAGAAACAGGACAAAGACCAAGAUCAUAUAAAGUAAAGCUCUUAUUCAAUUAGCUGAUCAUCCAUAGUUUCUUUGAUCUUGCUUCUUUCAUGCUAAGUAUUCUAGGUUUGCCUCAACUAUGUCAUUUUUCUUAACCAAGAUUUCGUGUGAUUAGAGGUGUACUUCAGAUGGUUAGAUUAUAUUGUAAGUAAUACUUCUAAUUUUGCACGUCACAAAGUUCCUUGAUUGGUGUUAUGAAAGCAAUUGUCUUUUGAGUAGAGUUGUUGAUAUGAGGAGCUUGAGUUAGUGAGAGAUUCGCCAUUUGAGCAAGAUGGUUUUGAUACAAAGUUAAAAAUGUAUGAGUAGGCCUUGCUUCUUCUAUGGUUAUAUAUAAUAUUUGGUAUCGUUGCCUAUACUAUUUUCAUAUUAUUAUUUAAGAUAUACACUGUUUUAAUCCGAUUGAUUUAUCUCAGUUCAACACUUAUACUGAAUAACAUACUUUUGACCAAUGCAAUAAAAAUAAGAAAUUAACAAAUAUUCUACGUGUAAUCUUGAAUAGACUAACGUAUAACUAUCAUCACAAUGUUGAAAAUGAAACGUUAAACUGGCAAAUCUACGUAUUUAGUUUAGUUCUAUGAUGCUUUGAUUUGACAGCUCCCUGCAUUGUCUAUCUUUCACCUGUCAGUAUCGUGUAUCUUUUUAGAAUCUUAGAAAUUUGUCAAUUUAUAACUUGAUGUGGGCCUCUUUUUGAGCGAUUUAUGGAAACCUUGAUCCUCUACUCUUUUUAUCAUAAAUUGCUAUAUUCUCCACUUUCUCUCGAACACACCAUACUAUCUUCCGAUUAGCCGGCAAUGGAAACGAAAAUAUUUUCAAAAAAGCUAACACAGACCGAUGUUAGAAAGAGACUUUCGGUUAAAACCCGUAGUCUCCGCUUUUUCCCUCCUUUUGAAGAUGGCCAGAAUGCUCAGGAGCUCAUGGUAGAGGAUGACCAAGGGAAACCCUGGCCCUUUCGCCUGGUUAUUCGUAGUAGGGGACGGUAUAAAAAGCCUGUUCUUACUGCGGGCUGGCGUGAAUUUGUUACUAAAAAGGAACUUCAAAUUGGUUUCAAGGUUAAGUUUUUCCGCGAAAACAAUGACGUUACAGGAGAGGUCAAGUACAAGGUUAAACUGAAGAAACCUUGUGUUAUAUUUAAGGCUGAUUUUGGUGGUUAUAUUUCCCACUGCCCUGCCGGUUAAAUGGAAAAUGUUUUCCUUGAAAAAUUAUCAAGUACGACGAAUCUAAUCUGCUUAUGUAGAUGAUUUUGCUUCAUGACUAUCUGGUUUCUUAAAUGUUGCCCAUGUUGUUUGAGUCUGUUAAGUCGUGCAUAAUAAAAUGCUGUACCAUUUUGUUUUUUUAUAUGAUCCUGUCACUUUAAUUUACCAACAUGCUGUAAAUUCUUUAUCAUCGUAUUGUUAUGAAGAAUAUAUAGGUUCUCAUCAGUGCAUGGAUUGUACGGGAAUUCACCGGAUGCUUUCUCUGGAUUGCCAGGGUCCCCAGGAACAAAGAUCACAGCUUUAUAUUCAAUAAUUAAGCUGAUAUGCUCACAGCUUCUUGUCCGUCUGCUGUGCUGAUUUUCUUGGGUUUUAUAAAAAGGGUCAGUAACUGAUCAGUCCCAAGUUCAGGUUUUGGUACUAGAAGAUCUUCCUUUGUUUUGCUAAGAAAAUUAUAUCAUAUGUUUUUUGUUUUAUUAAUUUUGCCAUUAAAUAUAUCAGUUGUUUUGUCUUCUGGCUUUUUAUGCAAUGGCUUUGUGUUAAAUUUAGCUUCUCUA